rnacentral:rRNA from 1 species
CGGUCCAGACUCCUACGGGAGGCAGCAGUGGGGAAUAUUGGACAAUGGGCGCAAGCCUGAUCCAGCCAUACCGCGUGUGUGAAGAAGGCCCUAGGGUUGUAAAGCACUUUAAGUUGGGAAGAAAAGUUAUUGGUUAAUACCCAAUAGCCGUGACAUUACCAUCAGAAUAAGGACCGGCUAAUUCCGUGCCAGCAGCCGCGGUA